AGUUGAGCGGGGAUAUAUGGAGCUUGCUUUAUAUAACUUAGCAGCGAACGGGUGAGUAACACGUAGAUAAUCUAUCCUAUACUGGGGGAUAGCCCGAUGAAAGUUGGAUUAAUACCGCAUAUAGCUAUAUAGUUGCAUGAUUAUGUAGUGAAAGAUUUAUUGGUAUAGGAGGAGUCUGCGGCACAUUAGCUAGUAGGUGAGGUAAAGGCUUACCUAGGCGACGAUGUGUAGCCGGUCUGAGAGGAUGAACGGCCACAAUGGAACUGAGACACGGUCCAUACUCCUACGGGAGGCAGCAGUGGGGAAUAUUGCACAAUGGGGGAAACCCUGAUGCAGCAACGCCGCGUGAGUGAAGAAGGUUUUCGGAUUGUAAAGUUCUGUUAGCAGGGAAGAGGAAGGACGGUACCUGCAGAGGAAGCCACGGCUAACUACGUGCCAGCAGCCGCGGUAAUACGUAGGUGGCAAGCGUUGUUCGGAAUAACUGGGCGUAAAGGAUGCGUAGGCGGUUAAACAAGUUAUAUGUUAAAUAUAUAGGCUUAACCUGUAGAAAGCAUAUAAAACUGUUUAACUAGAGUGCAGGAGAGGUAAGUGGAAUUCCUAGUGUAGCGGUGAAAUGCGUAGAGAUUAGGAAGAACACCAGUGGCGAAGGCGACUUACUGGACUGUAACUGACGCUGAGGCAUGAGAGCAUGGGGAGCAAACAGGAUUAGAUACCCUGGUAGUCCAUGCUGUANACGAUGGGGACUAGNUGUGGGUUGUGAAUAACAAUUCGUGCCGU
rnacentral:rRNA from 1 species